rnacentral:rRNA from 1 species
UCCAGACUCCUACGGGAGGCAGCAGUGGGGAAUAUUGGGCAAUGGGCGCAAGCCUGACCCAGCAACGCCGCGUGAAGGAAGAAGGCUUUCGGGUUGUAAACUUCUUUUAUCAGGGACGAAGCAAGUGACGGUACCUGAUGAAUAAGCCACGGCUAACUACGUGCCAGCAGCCGCGGUAAUACGUAGGGAGCAAGCGUUGUCCGGAAUUACUGGGUGUAAAGGGAGCGUAGGCGGGGAUGCAAGUUGGGUGUCAAAACUAUCGGCUCAACCGAUAGUCGCACUCAAAACUGCAACUCUUGAGUGAAGUAGAGGCAGGCGGAAUUCCUAGUGUAGCGGUGAAAUGCGUAGAUAUUAGGAGGAACACCAGUGGCGAAGGCGGCCUGCUGGGCUUUUACUGACGCUGAGGCUCGAAAGUGUGGGGAGCAAACAGGAUUAGAUACCCGAGUACG